rnacentral:rRNA from 1 species
CUGUCUUAUUUCAAAAUAUUAAAUUUAACUUUUAAGUGAAAAGGCUUAAAUUAUAUAAAGGGACGAUAAGACCCUAUAAAACUUAAUAUAUGAUAUUUUAGUUUUUAUAUUUAUUAGUUUAUUAGUAAGUAAAAUAUAGUAUAUUGUGCUGGGGCGGCAGAGAUAUAUAUGAACUGUUUUUGUAGAUAGCAGAAAUAUUUGGUUAAAAUGAUCCUUUAAUGUGAAGAAUAAAAGAUUAAGUUACUUUAGGGAUAACAGCGUAAUUUUUUUUGAGAGUUCCUAUCGACAGAAAGGAUUGCGACCUCGAUGUUGAAUUAAAAGUUCUUUAUGGUGUAGCAUUUAUAGAAGAAGGUCUGUUCGACCUUUAAUUUUUUA